AAAACUGAGAACCAGUAGUAUCCACUCUUCUGUCUGUCUCAUUGCAGUGGCUUGAGGCCUUGUGUUGCUCCGCCAGAUUAAUAUAGUUUUUUGUGCUAGCUGCUACAAUAACAAUAUCACUGUAGCGUGGUUUAUAUACAGGUCAGUUAUGUAAAUGGAACACUUUUGGUGUUUUUUGAGGGUUUUUUGUUCGGGCUUAGCGUCAAAAUAGGUACCUCCCAUGACGUGCAUUGUUAGCUGGCUCAUACUAACUCGUUUUCUCUCGCGAGAACGCACAGAAAAGGGAAAGAAAUAUGUGUUCGACGGGCAGAAAAAUUGUACAUUUAUGCAAUAAGGUGCUGCUCUGCUGCCCUCUAACUGUCAUGUGUUGCAGCACACCUACCGACCCCUGGGAGGAGCUCAUGCGCACCUGUUGGCAAUCAGCGUCUGGACUAUUUCAUCCCUGUCUUGUUCCUCACCUGUUGCCAGAUUGUCUUCCCGUGCACGCAUGUUCUCUGCUCUUGCCUACCUCGCUCUGCCCUGCAUUUUGCGGAUAAACGUCAUUCCGGAAGGUGACGAGGAAGCGCGUGGGGCGGAAAGGCGAGCCAGACGUACUCAAAACGCUUUGACACAUUCACACGACUGAUGACGCAGCAUCAGGACCAGUUUGGGGGUUCAGUGCCUUGGCCGAGGAUCGAACCAGCAACCUUCCGUUUGGAAAGCCCACCGCUCUACCACAGUCCAAGGUAGCCAUCGAGGAUGUGCAUCAAUCCCCAUGUGCAGACCCCGGUGAGUGCGACAGUGUGAGAGGGGAGGAGUCAGAAUUCCUCUUAACUUCCACAGGAAAAGACAGCAGAAUGGAAAUGGAGAGGCCGCGUCAAGCAAUCCGAGAGCGAACACGGUAUGCCUGCCCUCUUCUGGUCACCACCUCACCUUCCAUGUAGUUUUCCCACAGGUGUGGUUGAGUGAGGUCGUUGACUCGUCAGGUGGAGGUGGCAAAUAAAUAAAUAAUGUAUUCUUUUUUUUUUUUUAAAUGAAUGAUUGCUCCACCCCUAGCACCAAGCAGACCUGCACACGCAAAAAGCAAGACGAAUAGCACA